ACUCCUACGGGAGGCAGCAGUGGGAAUAUUGCACAAUGGGCGCAAGCCUGAUGCAGCAACGCCGCGUGAGGGAUGAAGGCCUUCGGGUUGUAAACCUCUUUUAGCAGGGAAGAAGCGAAAGUGACGGUACCUGCAGAAAAGCACCGGCUAACUCUGUGCCAGCAGCCGCGGUAAUACAGAGGGUGCGAGCGUUAAUCGGAUUUACUGGGCGUAAAGCGUGCGUAGGCGGCUUUUAAGUCGGAUGUGAAAUCCCCGAGCUUAACUUGGGAAUUGCAUUCGAUACUGGAAGCGUAGAGUAUGGGAGAGGAUGGUAGAAUUCCAGGUGUAGCGGUGAAAUGCGUAGAGAUCUGGAGGAAUACCGAUGGCGAAGGCAGCCAUCUGGCCUAAUACUGACGCUGAGGUACGAAAGCAUGGGGAGCAAACAGGAUUAGAUACCCUGGUAGGUC
rnacentral:rRNA from 1 species